rnacentral:rRNA from 1 species
GGAAGUAAAAGUCGUAACAAGGUCUCCGUUGGUGAACCAGCGGAGGGAUCAUUACCGAGUUUACAACUCCCAAACCCAAUGUGAACGUUACCAAACUGUUGCCUCGGCGGGAUCUCUGCCCCGGGUGCGUCGCAGCCCCGGACCAAGGCGCCCGCCGGAGGACCAACCAAAACUCUUUUGUAUACCCCCUCGCGGGUUUUUUAUAUCUGAGCCAUCUCGGCGCCUCUCGUAGGCGUUUCGAAAAUGAAUCAAAACUUUCAACAACGGAUCUCUUGGUUCUGGCAUCGAUGAAGAACGCAGCGAAAUGCGAUAAGUAAUGUGAAUUGCAGAAUUCAGUGAAUCAUCGAAUCUUUGAACGCACAUUGCGCCCGCCAGUAUUCUGGCGGGCAUGCCUGUCCGAGCGUCAUUUCAACCCUCGAACCCCUCCGGGGGGUCGGCGUUGGGGAUCGGCCCUUUACGGGGCCGGCCCCGAAAUACAGUGGCGGUCUCGCCGCAGCCUCUCCUGCGCAGUAGUUUGCACACUCGCAUCGGGAGCGCGGCGCGUCCAUUGCCGUAAAACACCCAACUUUCUGAAAUGUUGACCUCGGAUCAGGUAGGAAUACCCGCUGAACUUAAGCAUAUCAAUAAGCGGAGG